UACGGAGGGUGCAAGCGUUAUCCGGAUUCACUGGGUUUAAAGGGUGCGUAGGCGGGCAGGUAAGUCAGUGGUGAAAUCUUUGGGCUUAACCCGAAAACUGCCAUUGAUACUAUCUGUCUUGAAUAUUGUGGAGGUUGGCGGAAUAUGUCAUGUAGCGGUGAAAUGCUUAGAUAUGACAUAGAACACCUAUUGCGAAGGCAGCAAACUACGCAUAUAUUGACGCUGAGGCACGAAAGCGUGGGGAUCAAACAGG
rnacentral:rRNA from 1 species